rnacentral:rRNA from 1 species
AGAGUUUGAUCCUGGCUCAGGAUGAACGCUGGCGGCGUGCUUAACACAUGCAAGUCGAACGAAGCACCUGACUACGAUUUCUUCGGAAUGACGGUCUUGUGACUGAGUGGCGGACGGGUGAGUAACGCGUGGGUAACCUACCUCACACAGGGGAAUAACAGUUAGAAAUGACUGCUAAUACCGCAUAAGCGCACGGUACCGCAUGGUACAGUGUGAAAAACUCCGGUGGUGUGAGAUGGACCCGCGUCUGAUUAGCUAGUUGGUGAGGUAACGGCCCACCAAGGCGACGAUCAGUAGCCGGCCUGAGAGGGUGAACGGCCACAUUGGAACUGAGACACGGUCCAAACUCCUACGGGAGGCAGCAGUGGGGAAUAUUGCACAAUGGGGGAAACCCUGAUGCAGCGACGCCGCGUGAGUGAAGAAGUAUUUCGGUAUGUAAAGCUCUAUCAGCAGGGAAGAUAAUGACGGUACCUGACUAAGAAGCCCCGGCUAACUACGUGCCAGCAGCCGCGGUAAUACGUAGGGGGCAAGCGUUAUCCGGAUUUACUGGGUGUAAAGGGUGCGUAGGUGGUAUGGUAAGUCAGAAGUGAAAACCCGGGGCUCAACUCCGCGGAUUGCUUUUGAAACUAUCAGACUGGAGUACCGGAGAGGUAAGCGGAAUUCCUAGUGUAGCGGUGAAAUGCGUAGAUAUUAGGAGGAACACCAGUGGCGAAGGCGGCUUACUGGACGGUAACUGACACUGAGGCACGAAAGCGUGGGGAGCAAACAGGAUUAGAUACCCUGGUAGUCCACGCCGUAAACGAU